GAGGGGGCAAGCGUUGUUCGGAAUUACUGGGCGUAAAGGGCGCGUAGGCGGCCUGCUAAGUCGAACGUGAAAUCCCUGGGCUCAACCCAGGAACUGCGUCCGAUACUGGUUGGCUUGAAUCCGGGAGAGGGAUGUGGAAUUCCAGGUGUAGCGGUGAAAUGCGUAGAUAUCUGGAGGAACACCGGUGGCGAAGGCGACAUCCUGGACCGGUAUUGACGCUGAGGCGCGAAAGCCAGGGGAGCAAACGGGAUUAGAUACCCCGGUAGUCCUGGCCCUAAACGAUGAAUGCUUGGUGUGGUGGGUAUCGAUCCCUACCGUGCCGAAGCUAACGCAUUAAGCAUUCCGCCUGGGGAGUACGGUCGCAAGGCUG
rnacentral:rRNA from 1 species